rnacentral:lncRNA from 1 species
CUCCAGCACAGCUGAGACCGGCAGGGUAUAAGAAGUGGAAGGGUCAGAGGAGAGAGAGGAAAUGUGAUAACAGAGACAGAGGUUGGAGUGAUGUCGUUUGGAGAUGGAGGAAGGAGCCACCAGCCCUGGACAGCAGAUAGGCUCUAGAAGGUAAGAAAGACAAGGAGACAGAUUCUCCCCUAAAGCCUGCAGAGGAACGCAGCUCUGAG